AUGGUGGUAACUCCCAUACAUUUGUCCCAUGACAGGGCAGAGAUGAAAAUUGAAAAAUCAACAAGGAAUUGCGCUCCCAGCUGGCAGAAAGCCAACCGCAGUUCGAAGACCUCAAAGAAAAAUUUCUUAUAAUUCAAGCUACUGCCUAUUCUCUGGCUAAACAACUGAAGAAAUACAAGUAUGAAGAGUACAAAGACAUCAUAGACUCUGUGCUGUGGAAUGAAGUACAGUUCAUAGAGGAGAAGCUGGCAGAGAAGCUCAGGCAGCUGAGGAGCUCAGGUGAGCAGACGUUGCAAUAUAAAGCCCUGGUUCACUCUCAGGCAAAAGAGCUGACCCAGUUAUGGGGCAAGUUACGGGAAGGGAGAGAUGCCUCCCGCUCACUGAAUCAGCAUUUCAAGGCCCUCCUCACUCCUCAUGACCCUGACAAGUCCCAGGGUCAGGACCUCCGAGAGCAGCUGGCUGAGGGGUGCAGGCUGGCAGAGCAUCUUGUCUAGAAGCUCAGCCAAGAUAAGGUGGACACAGAAAAUGAUGCAGAUGUUACAGAUGCAGAGACUGAGAACAUACAGGAAUCACCUGCUCCCAGGGAGGUACAGAAGGCUGAGGAAAAGGAAGUCCCUCAGGACUCACUGGAGGCAUGUGCUUAUUCAAACAGCUACAGCCCUUCUGACUCCAACCAGCCUCAGAGGAGCACCAAAGUCACAUUCGAGGGAGGCAAAGUCGACUCUUCUCUGGUUGUAGACAGUGAAUGCUCUCAGGAUGAAGGGGAGGAAGCUCUAAACAUUCUCCCAGCCACUGACAGCCUUGGAAAUGUUGUUUCCCUGAUUUCACUCUUCUCAACCUCAGUCUUGGUCUCCUGUGAGUCAGAUUGUCCUAGCUAUGCAGUCACCUUGAUGCCAGGAGGAAAUCAAAAUGAUGAUGAGAAAGAGGAAGGAAAAGGGCCAGUGCCCCCCAGGCUGAGCCAGGAGCUGCCACAGGUGAACGAGCAGGAAGUCCCAGAGGACUCCUUGGAUGAAAUUUACUUGACACCUUGAGUUCACCAUGACCUGUCUGACUGCCACCAGCCUUAUAGCAACACCUUGUCCUCAUUGGAUGAUCAGCUCUCAUGCUCUGCUCUGGAUGUAGCCUCUCCCACCCAGGAGGCCUGCCCCCAAGGGACUUGCAGUGGAGACUUGAGCUACCGCUUGUCAGAGGUGCAGGCUUCACAGACACAGCUGGAGCCAAGCACCCUGAUGACUAAUUGUCUACAGCUACAGCUGGAUCAAGAGUUGGACUGCGGGAAUGGCUUAGCCAGGCAGGGCCUUUUUUCCACCACCUGCAGCUUCACAGCCGAUGCUGAUUCUGGGACCCAAUGUCCCUCUCAAGGUACCAAAUACUGCCAGAAAGAUGCAAAGAAUGAAAGGAUGUCACCAAAAAAGUAGCUUUUCUACUCGACGAGAAAAAACUAAAACAGCAAAGCAAGCUGAAGUCCAAAUACAAUGACACUGCAGAGAUCUUUCACUGAGGAUUGAAUUUUAGAUCGCAGAAUGCCCUUGAUGAUUUCAACCCACUAGGCUUCUUUGAUCUGAGAAGCCACAGUCCAUCCUACUCCAAUUGUGAUCAAUACCUAGGGAGACCAAUUCCCAGAUAGACAAACAGCACUAAUAGGCCUUAGCCCCACUUCUUUCAAUUUCCAUCCUGUAGAGAACAGAAGUCUGGAGCCACUGGCAGGAGACAGCAUGUCACCCAGGACUCUGCCAGGGUAGAGUAUGAACAAUGCCAUGUUCUUGCUGAAAAUGUUUAGCAUAACAAUAUUAACCCUAAAUGUAAAUGGGCUAAAUGCACCAAUCAAAAGACACAGACAGGCAAAUUGGAUAAAGAACCAAAACCCAUCGGUGUGCUGUAUCCAGGAAACCCAUCUCACAUGCAUGGAUACACAAAGGCUCAAAAUAAAGGGGUGAAGGAAGACUUACCAAGCAAAUGAAAAGCAAAAAAAAGCAGGAGUUGCAAUUCUUGUCUCUGAUAAAAUAGACUUUAAAGCAACAAAGAUCAAGAAACAAAGAAGGUUAUCACAUAAUGGUAAAAGGAUCGAUAUAACAAGAAGAGCUAAUGAUCCUAAAUAUAUGUGGACCCAAUACAGGAGCACCCAGAUAUAUAAGGCAAGUUCUUAACGACUUACAAAGAGACUUAGACUCCCACACAAUAAUAGUGGGAGACUUUAA